rnacentral:rRNA from 1 species
AUUGAACGCUGGCGGCAUGCCUUACACAUGCAAGUCGAACGGCAGCACGGACUUCGGUCUGGUGGCGAGUGGCGAACGGGUGAGUAAUAUAUCGGAACAUACCUUGUAGUGGGGGAUAACUAUCCGAAAGGAUAGCUAAUACCGCAUACGCUCUAAGGAGGAAAGCGGGGGAUCGUAAGACCUCGUGCUAUAAGAGAGGCCGAUAUCUGAUUAGCUAGUUGGUGAGGUAAAGGCGCACCAAGGCGACGAUCAUUAGCUGGUCUGAGAGGACGACCAGCCACACUGGAACUGAGACACGGUCCAGACUCCUACGGGAGGCAGCAGUGGGGAAUUUUGGACAAUGUGGGCAACCCUGAUCCAGCAAUGCCGCGUGAGUGAAGAAUGCCUUCGGGUUGUAAAGCUCUUUUGUCAGGGAAGAAACGGUUGUGGCUAAUAUCCAUGGCUAAUGACGGUACCUGAAGAAUAAGCACCGGCUAACUACGUGCCAGCCGCCGCUGUAA